CCUACGGGUGGCAGCAGUGGGGAAUAUUGGGCAAUGGGCGCAAGCCUGACCCAGCAACGCCGCGUGAAGGAAGAAGGCUUUCGGGUUGUAAACUUCUUUUAAGAGGGAAGAGCAGAAGACGGUACCUCUUGAAUAAGCCACGGCUAACUACGUGCCAGCAGCCGCGGUAAUACGUAGGUGGCAAGCGUUGUCCGGAUUUACUGGGUGUAAAGGGCGUGCAGCCGGGAAGACAAGUCAGAUGUGAAAUCCCGCGGCUCAACCUGUGGCCUGCAUUUGAAACUGUAGUUCUUGAGUACUGGAGAGGCAGACGGAAUUCCUAGUGUAGCGGUGAAAUGCGUAGAUAUUAGGAGGAACACCAGUGGCGAAGGCGGUCUGCUGGACAGCAACUGACGCUGAGGCGCGAAAGCGUGGGGAGCAAACAGGAUUAGAUACCCUUGUAGUC
rnacentral:rRNA from 1 species